rnacentral:lncRNA from 1 species
GCCAAUGUCAUGUGGCCUGUCCACACCAGAGCUGGGAUUCGAACCCACAGUCCUCUCUACCCUGAAUUUACUCCAAGUCAAAUACAUCCACCCCCUCUGCUGCCCACUGCCUCUUUCCUUCCCCUCUACCAAGGGUAUGGGAGAAGCAGCAGCCCUGCAGGCUCUGUGGGCUUCUGGGCAGUCCCAGGACCUGACAGAGAGAUCAGAGCGGGCAUCGGGGGCUCCACGCGAACCCUCACCCCCACUCCAAGCGUGGUGCCCACCCGCCUAGCUGGCAUGGCGGGGUGACUCAGCCGCAUCUGGGGGAGAUGCCAGGGCAGUGACUCACCUACCGAGAAGAGCUGAGCCUGGCACUCUGCCAGCCUAGGACAGAAGCGACUUAGUCACCACCCACCGGGACUGCGCUGCCCGCAGGCGUGGCCAGCGAUCGGGACAGGGGCUGUGCCCUCUGCCUACAGGCGCCCCCUGGUGAAGACAGGCGGGCUUUAGCAUCCCCACGGGGCUGGGCCCGCUCCUGCCCCUCUCCACUGCCCACCCCCAUCUCGCCGGACCCUGCUCCCGUGGCAACAAGCUGCCUCUGGCAGGCAGCCCACUACCCUUGGAGCCCGGCCCCCACCCCCAGUCCACCUAGUGUAGGAAGUAAGCGUUGGAGAGUAUUUGUCAUGCGGAGACCAGCCCAGGAGAGGAGAGAAGCAGCAAGGCGGAGACAGACAGACAGACAGACAAACAGACGGGAUUCCUGUGCUCUGUGCUCCAGCUGCAACCAACCACUAGCUGGGCCUGAAGUCAAUUUGAAGGCGAAGCAGGGGACAGAGGUACCACGUCUGCCUGCAGAGGGACCUGAACAACUCCAGGGGGCGUUGUUUACUCACAGCCCAAGGUCAGGUUUCCCUGUAGCUGUACAACACGGCAGCCCUCAGGGAGACAGAACUCAGGCUGGACCCCAAGGGGCUGUGAUUAUGCUCCCAGUUCUCUCCCACAGCACCCACCCCUGCCUCCAGGCCUCAGAGAAGGGAUCCCUUUGGACCAGGAAUCAGAAGCCCAGAGCCUGAGCUGGCCGAGGUAAACCACACCUGUGAUCCCAGCACUGAGGAGGCUGAGGCAAGAGGAUCACCACAAGUUUGAGGCCAGUUUACCCUACAUAGUGAGUUGAAGCCCAGCCUGGCCUACAGAGCGAGACCCAAAACAAACUAACAAAUAAACCUGUCCUGUCUCCC